rnacentral:rRNA from 1 species
GAUGUCUCCGGACCAAAGGUGUGAUUCCGCCGGAGGAGGGGCCCACGUCCUAUCAGCUAGUUGGCGAGGUAAUAGCUCACCAAGGCGACGACGGGUACGGGGUGUGAGAGCAUGCCCCCGCUCACUGGGACUGAGACACUGCCCAGACACCUACGGGUGGCUGCAGUCGAGAAUCUUCCGCAAUGGGCGAAAGCCUGACGGAGCGACGCCGCGUGCGGGAUGAAGGCCUUCGGGUUGUAAACCGCUGUCAGUGGGGAGGAAAUGCACGGGGGUUCUCCCUCGUGUUUGACCGAUCCGCAGAGGAAGCACAGGCUAAGUUCGUGCCAGCAGCCGCGGUAACACGAACUGUGCAAACGUUAUUCGGAAUCACUGGGCUUAAAGAGUUCGUAGGCGGCGCGUUAAGUCGGGUGUGAAAUCCCUCGGCUCAACCGAGGAAUUGCGCCCGAAACUGGCGUGCUUGAGUGAGAUAGAGGUGAGCGGAACUGAUGGUGGAGCGGUG